rnacentral:rRNA from 1 species
CGUUAGCGGCGGACGGGUGAGUAACGCGUGGACAACCUGCCCUAGUGCAGGGGGAUAACAUCCGGAAACGGGUGCUAAUACCGCAUAAGCGCACAGUACCGCACGGUACGGUGUGAAAAGCUGAGGCGGCAUAGGAUGGGUCCGCGUUGGAUUAGGCAGUUGGCGGGGUAACGGCCCACCAAACCGACGAUCCAUAGCCGGCCUGAGAGGGUGGACGGCCACAUUGGGACUGAGACACGGCCCAGACUCCUACGGGAGGCAGCAG